CGACCCCAGUCAGGCGGGACUACCCGCUGAGUUUAAGCAUACAAAA
rnacentral:rRNA from 1 species